UAAAAUUAUCUUUCUAAUGCCACAAAUUUUAUAGAAAACGGAGUUGGGAUGAAUUUUAUAAAAAUUGUCAAACUUACUGCCCCAACUAAUCUUGACAGUGCCGAGGCCGUAUAUGUGAAGCAUAAUUCCUUGUCGAUGUGCACUUUUAUCGGCCAUCAAAUUUUAUAAGAAUUAUUUUACCAAGUUGAAAAUAAGUUUUUAACAUGUAAUAUUUCUAUUUAAGAAUAUUUACAUGUACCAAAGGCAAAAGUUAUUAUGUAAAGUACGUGGCCCUCGAAGCUUAAGUUCGGGGCGCCACAGUUGUGGUA
rnacentral:lncRNA from 1 species